rnacentral:piRNA from 1 species
UAAGAUAUAUAUGUCAUAUUGCCUCUUUGG